rnacentral:rRNA from 1 species
GUAAAGCUCUUUCGCCGACGAAGAUAAUGACGGUAGUCGGAGAAGAAGCCCCGGCUAACUUCGUGCCAGCAGCCGCGGUAAUACGAAGGGGGCUAGCGUUGUUCGGAAUCACUGGGCGUAAAGCGCACGUAGGCGGAUUGUUAAGUCAGGGGUGAAAGCCUGGAGCUCAACUCCAGAACUGCCCUUGAUACUGGCAAUCUCGAGUCCGGAAGAGGUAAGUGGAACUGCGAGUGUAGAGGUGAAAUUCGUAGAUAUUCGCAAGAACACCAGUGGCGAAGGCGGCUUACUGGUCCGGUACUGACGCUGAGGUG